UACGAAGGGUGCAAACGUUGCUCGGAAUUAUUGGGCGUAAAGCGCACGUAGGCGGCUUUUCAAGUCCCAUGUGAAAGCCCACGGCUUAACCGUGGAAGUGCAUGGGAAACUGGAAGCUUGAGUACUUAAGAGGAUCGCGGAAUUCCCGGUGUAGAGGUGAAAUUCGUAGAUAUCGGGAGGAACACCAGUGGCGAAGGCGGCGAUCUGGGAAGAUACUGACGCUGAGACACGAAAAGCGUGGGUAGCAAACAGG
rnacentral:rRNA from 1 species